rnacentral:rRNA from 1 species
GUCUCCAGCCACGCCACCCUGAGCACGCCCGGUCCCGUCUGAUCUCGGAAGCUCAGCAGGGUCGGGCCCGCUUAGUACUUGGAUGGGAGACCACCUUGGAAUACCGGGUGCUGUAGGUG